CAGAAUUAUACAAUAAAGCAAACAUUCAGAGCGAUUUUAGUCAUAUUCUAAUAAAAUAACAAUAAUACAUCUGUACUUGAACCAGCAGUGGAAAGUCUCUUAUGAUCUAUACCAUAAGUGCAUGGUAGAGUGACACAUAAUCUUCAUGGGCCAUGCUAUUACUAUCCCCAUAGAGGAAUCUCCUUCCUGUGGGUCUUUGCAUGGCUUAGAAGGGACAUUGUCUUUGUUACUUAUUCUUAUCCUUACAUUAUCAGCCCCAGUAUUUGCCUUUUUCACCAGUAUGUCUUCUACCUUACUGAUGCUAGUAGAGGAAUCUAAUGGGUUACAGUCACUGUCCCAACAGUCAAAGUAUAGGGGUCCUGUGGUUUUGGUAAUUUGCUAUGUCAAUCUCUAAAUUUGGCUUUCAGGAUUUGGAGGAAUUAAUCCUUCCAUUGCUAUCUCAAAAGGUGAUCUAGACAAUGGAACAGAGACCUCUCAAUCAGGUAAGUGAUUAUUGAACAUGAAGGCAACUAUUUUUCUUUGGCCUUUUUGUUGUAUUUGUUAAUAGGUUUCCUAAUAAUGAACUAACCUUGCAUUUCUGGAAGACAAUUUCUACUUUUCAAGGAUUUUUAAUUAUAUUUGUUAAAUUUAUUAUUUGAGUUUUGUUUUCUAUUUUUUUAAAUUAAUAUUAUCUUUCGAGGUUCAAAAGUGAGUUAGUUUGGGGUAGGAUGACAGUCUUUGUCUGUUAAUGUUAGGAUCAUGAGUGAAAUUUUUUGUUGCUCUCUAUUUAAGCAUAUCAGACAUCUUGCAUGCAGUUAAAUGUGCUUUAUUUACUUUUUGUGGUGCUGGGGAUUGAACCCAGGGCCUUGUGCAUGUGAGACAAGCACUCUACCAACUGAGCUAUAUCCCCAGCCCUUAAAUAUGCUUUAAUAACAUGAUUUUCAAAUUUGUACAUACUAUCAUAUAACACUAUGAAUGUAAAAAUCAAUUUUGUUUUCUGAUAUUUGGAACCUUGUUUCAGUUAUUACCUUUUUUGUUUUUGUUUGUUUGCUAUUCUGGGUCUCUCUAGGCAAGUACUUUACCACUCAGUCAUACACUACUCUCCCCAUAUUUUUUUUUUUCUUUUUUGGGUACUAGAGAUUGAACUCAGGCACUGCUUGGUUCUUCCCUGUUGCUAAGGCUGGCUUUGAACUUGUGAUCCUCCUGUCUCAGCCUCCCAAGCUGUUGGGAUUACAGGCAUGUGCCACUGAGCCCGGCCUGCAGUACCCCUUUAAUUGUGUGUAAAUAGUGCUGUAGUGAACAUCCUGUAGAUAAGGUCUUCACACAUGCUAGGCAACUGCAUAUUCAUGUUUAUAUUGUAACAUUGAAUAAAACGUACAGUUCCUCUAGUAGUAUGAGCAUUCCCAUUUUUACAUAUCCUUACCAAUAUACUGUAUUAAGGUUUUUAAUAAAUCUGCCAAUUGUACAGGUGAAAAAAUGUUCUCCUUUGAAAAUUCAAUAUAUGUCUUUUUAAAAAAAAUUUUUUUAGUUGUAGUUGGACACAAUACCUUAAUUUAACUUAUUUAGUUUUAUGUGGUGCUGAGGAUCAAACCCAGCGCCUCGCAUGUGCUAGGCGAGUGCUCUACUGCUGAGCCACAACUCCAGCCCUCAGUAUAUGCCUUUGAUUCCUAAUGAGGUAGAGGAGAUAAAAAUCUUACUUGGGUCCUAAUUUUUUAGUUUCUUUUUCAUACUUUUUUUAGAUGGUACUGGAAUUGAACACAAAGCCUCCAACUUGCUAGGAAGUGCUCUACUACUGAGCUACAUUCCUAACCCAUUUUUUCAAAUUUUUAUUUUGAGACAAGGUCUUGCUCAGUUGUCCAGGCUAGUCUUGAACUUGUUAUGUUCAUCUCUCAGCCUCCUAAGUAAAAAUUAUAAUUUCAUAUAGCUUAAAUAUCUUUUUUCCCCAUAUUUUAAAAGUGAUGCAUUGUACUUGUACACUGGGAUUUGAUGUUACAUAUUCAUACACUCACACAGUGUAACAAUAUAAUUUGGCCAAUAUAAUUUCCCAGUAUUUCCCCUUUGCCUCUCCUCCUCCCUUCCUCAUUCCCUCCAAAUGUCUUUUUUUUAAUAAUGCAUUCUCCCUUUUCUUUCCAUAUUAUGAAGAUGAAUAUAUUUCAUAAUUCACUUAUGUUUUACUUAUUUUUUAAUGAGUCUUUUCCAGUGUGGAUCUCUUUGGUGUAUGGCAUGUAAUUAAUUUUCUAAAUGUUCAGCACAUUUAGCAUUCAAAGAAUAAGAGGGGUAUCUCAGCAGGAGUUCCAGAAUCUUUUUUUUUUUUACACUGGUGUUGAACUCAGGGACACUUGACCACUGAGCCACAUCCCCAGUCCUAUUUUUUUGUAUUUUAUUUAGAGACAGGGUCUCACAGAGUUAUUUAGUGCCUUGCCCUUUGCUGAGGCUGGCUUUGAACUUGUGAUCCUUCUGUCUCAGCUUCCCAAGCCGCUGGGGUUAUAGGUGUGUGCCACCACGCCCGGUGAGUUUCAGAAUCUUUUUCCAAUAUUUGACUCCUAUCUCCCUCACCCCUACUUCACCCGCCAUACUAGAGAGUGAACCUAGGGAUAUUCUACCAUGAACCCCAUCCCCAGCCCUCUUUAUUUUUUGAGACAGGGUCUUGCUAAAUUGCUGAGGCUGACCUCAAACUUGAUCCUCCUUCUUCAGCCUCUAUCACUCCUGGCUCCAGAGCUCUGCUUUUUUUUUUUUUUUUUUAAAUAUUUGUUUUAGUUGGACACAGUACCUUUAUUUUAUUUAUGUAUUUAUUUAAAAAAAAUUUUUUUUUUAGUUGUUGUUGGACACAAUACCUUUAUUUUAUUCAUUUAUUUUUAUGUGGUGCUGAAGAUUAAACCCAGGGUCUUGCACGUGCGAGGCAAGCACUCUACUGCUCAGCCACAACCCUAGCCCCCUUUAUUUUAUUUUUAUGUGGUGCUGAGGAUAGAACCCAGGGCCUCACACGUGCUAGGUGAGCACUGUACCACUGAGCCACAAUCCCAGCCCCCAGAGCUCUGCUUUUAACAUGAAUAAAUAUUAUCUCUGUCCCUCUUUUUUUUUUUAAUAUUUAUUUUUUAGUUGUAGUUGGACACAAUACCUUUAUUUUAUUUUUUUUUAUGUGGUGCUGAGUAUCGAACCCAGGGCCUUGCAUGUACUAGGCAAGCGCUCUACCGCUGAGCCACAACCCCAGCCCCUCAGUCCCUCUUUUCUGUAAGUGUCUUGUCAGUUUUGCUACCACUGGUUUGUGUUCUUUAUGACAGGAAUUGGCAAACUUUUUCUAUCUAUGGCCUGAUACUGAGUAGUUUAGGCUCUGGGGGCUAUGUGGGUUCUUUCAGUGUCUCAGGGAAAGCAGCUAUAGACCAUGCAUAAAUGAAUGUGACUGUUUCAACAACAAUAGUUGUUGUUCCAACAACUAUUUACAAAAUAUAGCUGGUAGCUGCAUUUGGUCUGUGGGCUAUAAUUUGCCAAUGCCUGCUUUUUAUGUCAUUUUACUGUUUUAUUUUUGGUAGUACUGGGGAUGAAACCCAGGGUUUAAUGCAUGCUAGGCUAGGCAAGUCUACCAUUUACUGAGCUAUUUGCGACAUCCCCAGCAUUCCAUCUCCCUGCCCCUUUUUUUAUUAUACUGGGGGUUGAACUAAGGUCUUCACACAUGCUAGGCAACUGCUCUACCAAUGAGCUACGUUCCCAGCCCCCAGUCCCAGCUUUCAGCUCUUUUUAAUUUUUAUUUUGACUUAGGAUUUUGCUAAAUUGCCCAGGCUGGACUUGAACUUGUAAUCCUCUUUCCUUAGCCUCCCAAAUGGCUGGGGAUAUAGGUGUGUGCCACUACAAUGAAUCUCCCUAUAACCUUUUAGAUUACUAUUUUCACCUCCAGUCUUUGCUACUUAUUACCUGUUUCCAUAUUUCACAUUUCUGAAGUUUUGGAGAGCACAGGUGGUAACUAAACUGCAUGCUUUGCAUGUUAUUUGUAUCAUGUGCUGGGAUGUACAAGUUGUGCUUGCCUGCCUGCCUCCCUGCUUCAGUAUGACUAAUUUCACGUAGCUACAUUGUUUUUGAGGGUCUGUUUUUUGCAAUUCAGAUUUCAUUUCAAGAAAUAAGCUGAUUUAUAUCAAUUUUAAAAUGUCCAAAGAACUUCUUUUUGGUGUGGUAUCAUUUCUGUGAUUCAGUUUAGCUUGUUUUUGAUUCCAUGUGCUUGUGGUCUUGCUUUCUACUAUAGACUUGUUCCUCAUAAUCUGUCUUCCUUUACCCCCUAGCUUCUGGAGGCUUGUUUUUUUUCAAUUUGAAUCUCAAUUGAGCUUUUGUGAUCUCUGUAGACAUGGCCUUCAUUUUAGCUCAUCUUUGUCUUCAUAGACUAUCUGUUUUAACUCUAGGGUGUUCAGUUGUCAUUAAAGUGAGAAUGUCUGAUUCCUUUUGAGUUCUUAAGUUUCCUGAGAUUGUAGGGGUUGCAAUUUAACACAUCCAGGGCAUUUCCUCCUAUUGAUUGCUAAAUGUGACCAUCCUUUUUUCUUUAUAUAUAAUUCAAAAUUGCUUUAGCCUAACAUAAUCCAGUUACUAUGAAUAUUUCUAGUAUCAUUUAAUUGCUCUAAAACUAGAACUCAGCUCAGUCAUAGAGCAUCUAGAAGUAUCAUACCUGUCCACAAGUUCAUAGUCAGUUCCCCAACUAUAUUCCUCCUGAGGGACUCUUUUGCUUCUUCUUUUUUUUUUUUAAUAUUUAUUUUUUAGUUGUAGGUGGACAUAAUAAAUCUUUUUUUUUUUUUAAUAUUUAUUUUUUAGUUUUAGGUGGACACAAUAUCUUUACUUAUUGCUGAGAAUCGAACCCAGUGCCUUAUGCAUGCUAGGCAAGCAUGCUACCACUUGAGCCACAUCCCCAGCCCUGGACAUAAUAGCUUUAUUUCAUUGUUAUGUGGUGGUGAGGUUUGAACCCAGUGCCUCAAGUGUACUUGGCGAGUGCUCUAACACUGAGCCACAACCCCAGCCCCUCUUUUGCUUCUUAAUAUUGGUAUUAGUUGGGUACUUUUCCUUUUCCUCUUUAUUCUUUUCUUUUUUUUUUGGCGUUACUGGGAAUUGAAUCCAGGGGUGCUCUACCACUGAGCUAUAUUCAAUGUAGUUCAUAAAAUAAAACUCUUUAGGUUUUUUAUUUUGAGGCAGCAUCUUGCUAAGUUGCUAGGGCCUUACUAAGUCAGUGUGGCUGAGUUCAAACUUGUGAUGCUCCUGUCUUAGCCUCCUAAAUUGCUGGGGUUAUAGAUGUGUGCUACCAUGCUUGACUAGAUUAGGCACUUUUGAUUGCUAGAAGUAAAAUCGGUGAGCUCCCAUAAUGAUAGGCAGUCCACCUGUAGAGAGAUAAUGCUGACUGAGAUCACCUGCAGUUACAAAUGUAGGAGACAUUAAUAUGAUUAAGCCUCUUAGUGGUAAUAACUGGGUUUAGAGAAGCACCAGGAAACAGCUAUAUCUUUACAUUGGAGUUGUCUCAUUCAUAUCACUGAACUUGUCUGUCUCUCUGAUGAUCUUUUGUAUCUUAUAAUUUGUCCUUUUUGGUGUUGGCCUGUCUGUCCACUUUGGUUUUUCUCUACUACAUGUUUUUAGCUCAUACAUAGGUUUUGCUUCUUUUCUUUUUUUUUUUUUGGCAGCAGGACCAGGAAUUGAACCCAGGGGCACCCUAACCACCAAGCCUCAUUUCUAGCCCUUUUUAUUUUUUCAUUUUCAGACAGGAUCUCACUAAAUUGCUUAGGGCCUCGGUAAGCUGCUAAGGCUGGCUUUAAACUCGCAAUACUCCUGGCUCAGCCUCCCAAGCUGCUGGGAUUAUAGGCAUGCGCCACAGCACCUGGCUAGGUUUUGCUUUCUUAUGCCACCUUCCUUUGCUGCUUGUGGCCCUCAUGGCCUCACCUGUGUGUUGUGUGUUGGCUUCCUGCAUAUUCUUUCAGUUUUAGUUCCUUUUACUGUGAUAACUUUUUUUUUUUUUUUUAAAUAUUUAUUUAUUUAUUUAGUUAGUUCUCGACAGACACAACAUCUUUGUUGGUAUGUGGUGCUGAGGAUCGAACCCGGGCCACACGCAUUCCAGGCGAGCGCACUACCGCUUGAGCCACAUCCCCAGCCCCCUGUGAUAACUUUUGACAGCCAGAUUCUAGUUCCUGAGAACACAAUUUUACUAGAUCUGUCCUAUCCCAUUUUAGUUAGUAACAUACAACAGUGUUUUGUGUUCUUCAGUUAAGUCACUUGUCUCUGCUGCUUUUACUCUGCUUGUUUCUCAGCUUCUAACAUAGCCAUUAACAUCUAAUUUCUUCAUCCUUUGUUUCAGGGGUUGCAAUUGCAAAUGCCUGCAGGAACCACAUGGGGUAAAUGUGUGAGAUGGUUCUGGUAUUCAUUCUCCUUUUUCUUGAAGCACUAUCUUUUGUUAUUUUUUUUCUCUUUCAUUUUCUUUUUUAUUUACCUUUGAUAGAGAUGUUAGAAGACAGUUUAUUGUGAAAUAUAAACAAAUGUGAUGGUAAGGGCAACUUAUGCUUCUAAGAGGUUAGGGGAGUGUUUGGGAUUGUGGUUAUUAACUGGAACAUUCACCAUUCAUCUAAAGGGGGGGCACAACUUGUUGAUACUUGGGCCUAGGGAUGCCAGGAUAUUUGGCUCUGUAUAAGAAAUCUGGUUGGCUUCAAUUCUUUUUUUUUUUUUAAAUGCGUCAGUCCGAUGGAAUAUUUUUAUAAAUACUUUUAUAAUUUUAUGAAUAGUUUCUGCUUUUUCACAAUUUUGGCUUAUUGUAAUGUUACCAUUUCUCGUAUGUCAUGACACGCUAUCUGUUCAACUCAGUUUGGGGCUUGGGCUUAGCAGUUUGUUUUGGAAGUGUUUGGAAUUGGACCAGUUUAUUUGAAUUCAGCUGUAUAAAUUAGAAUGAAAUAGAUUGGGAAAGAAUAGAUUAAGAUAAGUUUCUAGGAACAAACUAACUUCCAACUUGCAAAGGGUAAGUAUUUUGUGAGAUUUUUGUCUCAGCCAUUUGUGUCAUCUUCAGUCCAGUGUACUUUUUUUUUUUUUUUUGGUGAGAGGGAUUGAACCUGAACCUGGGGCCCUCAACCACUGAGCCACAUCCCCAGACCUUAUUUAUUUAUUUUUAAUAUUUAUUUUUUAGUUCCAGGUGGACACAAUAUCUUUAUUUUACAUUUAUGUGGUGCUGAGGAUCAAACCCAGUGCCCCAUGCAUGCCAGGCAAGCACUCUAUCACUGAGCCACAACCCCAGCCCCAUAUUUUUAAUUUUAUUUUGAGACAGGGUCUUAAUAAGUUGCAUAGGGCUUCACUAAAUUCCUGAGGCUGGCCUGGAGCUUGUGAUCCUCCUGCCUCAACCCCCAGAGUACCUGGGAUUAUCCACGAGUGUCACUGCACCAGGCUUUAGUGUACUUACAUUUGCUUUCUUUUUUGCAGGUGUGGGUAUCAAGCCUAAGGCCUUGUGUAUGCUAGGCAAGUGCUUUACCAAUGAGCUACACCCCCAGCCUGUAACUAUCCAUAUAAAUAUAUAUUUUUGGUAUUUGGGAUUGAACCUGGGGUGCUUCACCACUGAGCUACACCCCCAGCCCUGUUUAUUUUUUAUUUUGAGACAGGGUUUCACUUUGUUGCUUAGACCUCUCACCCUCCCCAGUCUCUGGGAUUACAGGCAUGUACCACUGUGCCCUGCUGUUUGUGAUUAUAUUUCUUAAUUGUGGAUUAAACAACUUUAUCAGAUAUUGAUAGAUUGUGAGCAAACAAAGUUACCCUGGACUAGAUCCUUGCUAUAGACAGUCUCCUUUGAAUCCCCAAACAGCAGUUCUUUAAAAUUGGGAGAAUACAUAAAAAUUUUUAAUGUUUUACAUAAAAAUCUAUAUUUUAUUUUUAAUGUGUUUCUGAAAUAUCAGAGAUUGAGUUUGACUUUUCACUGAGGGCUGGCAGUGUACCUCAGUGGUACAGUAUGCCUGUGGCCCUGGGUUCAAUCCAGCACCAGGAAAAAAAAAAGUAAAGAAAGAAAAUGAAAAGCCUCAUCUUAUUAGGGGCUGAGGCCAAGUAGUGGGAGGUUUUAUAUUACCUGCCUAGCUACUGAAGGCAUUUUCAGUGUGUGAGCUUGUAUUUCACAGGAAUCUAAUUUUAGAAGUUGGUUGCCAUUCCUCUUGGGAACAGUAAGGAAUUUAAGGAAGUUUAAGAACGUCCUCAGUUCUUUACUCUGCCUGAAAAACUGUCUCUUAUUUGCAACGAGAUCUGUCAGUAACUAGCAUUUUUAGAUUCAGGUUUUCAACAAGCUUUAUAAUUUGGCACAGUAUUGAAAUCUUGUGUCAGCACCCCUAUUUGAACUUCGUUUCCCUAACAUGUCAUGAAUUACUGAGCUGAUCAUGUCACUUCUUGUUUUUAAGUUUUUGUUAUGUAUCAAAGUACUAAUUUUUUUAUUUUUUAGUUGUAAUUGGACAUAAUAUCUUUAUUUUAUUUAUUUUUAUGUGGUCCUGAGGAUCAAACCCAGUGCCUUGCACAUGCUAGGUGAGUGCUCUACUGCUGAGCCACAACCCCAGCCCCUACAAAUACAAAUAUAAAUUUGUAUUUGUAGCGAGUCUGUUAUAUUUCAGUUCUUUGUUUUGAGGUACUGUCUGCUACAUUGUAGGAUAUGUUACAUCCCUGGCUGCCUUCCUCCAAGCAUCAGUAGUGAUCUCAACUCAACCACUAUGACAAGUAAAAAGGUCCCUACAAAGUUUUCACAACACUGCCCAAGGGUUCUACUGUUCUGGGUAAGAAUCAUUGUUCUAGAUUGGUGCUAUUGACUCUGUUUCAGUUUAUCUUUAAUUAUUUUCUCUUUCAUGCAUAGUUUCAUCUUCUCGACAAUUUGAGCUUAUAUAUCCUUCAUAACUUUUUAUUUUGUGAAACCUUCAGCCUCAGCUUUUGUCCUUUUACCUGAUUGUUCUAUGACUCAAAUUCCUGGGAACUAGAAAACCUUUUUGGCUUAAAUCUUUUUUUUGGCUAGAGCUUUUUACUUAAGGUCAUAACAUAGACUGUCUCCAUUUUUGUCCUUUGAUUUGGUGCCCUAUAAAAGAACAUAUUUUCUAUGGAUGGUUUUGUAUUUGAUAGGAAAUUUGUACAAUUCUGUUUUCCUCAGAAUAGGUAGGUUGAGGGAAUGUGUGGCAGAUACCAUGACUGAUCUGACAGGUAUAUUUUAGUAUGUGGCUGCUAGGCAGAUAAAUAUUUUUAGCCUAAAAUACCUUACAGUUUUCAUGUAUAGAUUCCCUAGUGGAUUCAGUUUUGCUGCUCUAAAUAGUAAUAAUACAAAUUGCCAUCUAGCACUUGUGUCCCAAAAUGAUGGUAUGGGAUAGAUUCAAAAGUAUGUGACCCAGGUGGGCAUUGUGGCUCACACCUGUAAUCCCAGUGAUUCUGGAGGCUGAGGCCAAAGGAUUGCAAGUUCAAGGACAGCACCAGCAACUUAAUGAGACCCUAUCUCAAAAUAAAAAAGAAAAAGCUCUGGGGAANACUAAGAACAGAGCAGGGAGGAAGAGCAGGAGGAAAAGAUUAACAUUAAACAGAGACAUGAGGUGGGAGGGAAAGGGAGAGAAGAGGGAAAUUGCAUGGAAAUGGAAGGAGACCCUCAUUGUUAUACAAAAUUACAUAUAAGAGGUUGUGAGGGGAAUGGGAAAAAAAUAAGGAGAGAAAUGAAUUACAGUAGAUGGGGUAGAGAGAGAAGAUGGGAGGGGAGGGGAGGGGGGAUAGUAGAGGAUAGGAAAGGUAGCUCAAUGAUAAAGCACCCCUGGGUUCAAUCUCCAUUACAAAAAAAAAAAAUCCCACAAUGAACAUGACCCAAAUUGAUAGAACAAAGUAGAAUGUUGGUUGCCAGGGACUGGGGUAAGGAGGAAAUAGAGAAUUGUUUACUGGGAAUAGAGUCAGUUUUGUAGGAGGAAAAAAUUUCUGGAGAUUCUUGCACAACAAUGUGAAUAUAGUACUGAACUAUAAUACCUAAAAUGUUUAAGGUGACAAAAAAUAUAGGUAGAAUAUUACACUAUAUAGACAGCUAUCAGAAUAUAUUAAAUAUACACAACUAUCAGAAUAUAUUAAAAAUGUAGCAAGUCACAGCAUAGGCUUGUUCCAUGUUUGUCUUGAUUUGGCACCCCACAAAAGAAAACUGUUUCUCUGGCUUUGAAAUUGAACUUUGUUCAAUUCUGUUUUUCUUCAAAAAACAUCUUCAAACAAAAAGGAGAUAGGNAAUGGGACUUACUUAAACUAAAAAGUUUUUUCUCAGCAAGAGAAACAAUAAGAGAGGUAAAUAGGGAGCCUACAUCAUGGGAACAAAUUUUUACUCCUCACACUUUAGAUAGAGCCCUAAUAUCCAGAGUAUACAAAGAACUCAAAAAAAUUAGACAAUAAGAUAACAAAUAACCCAAUUAACAAAUGGGCCAAGGACCUGAACAGACAACAAAUUUCAAAUGAGCCUGUUGGCACAGCUGCCAGGUCCCUGACAAAAUUAGCUUUAGUGGUUUUAAAUGCCUAAUUACCACUUUGUCUUAGACUACUAGGGGCUAUUGUCAUGUGCCAGUGUGGGGGAUUCUCAUUUCCUUACUUCCUACUGUGGCACUUCAACCAGUUGCAGAAAACACAUAUUCUUGGUAAGCUUCAGUUGUGGCUGAAAUUCUGUUAGCAGUUUCUGGUAUAAUGGUCACCUGAAUUGUCAAGAAAUAAGAAUACUCUAAAGCCAGCCAAACAAUUUUGAAAUCCCAGAACUAGGCAUGGCCAGCCCUGAGGUGAACAAGGAUCUCUUCAAAUAGGAAAACUGUCUAUUGAAAUCAAGAUAAAAUUUAAGGAAAUGAAAUUCAGUUUCCUUUCUGAGUUUGAAAGUGUUUCCAAGACAGAACUGGGUAUGGCAGUAGCAAGAGUUUUUAUCAUUCAUAUAAUACACCCUUAGCAUUUAUCUAUAUAUCUAUGUAUCUAUUUAUUUUUGUGGUACUGGGGAUUGGAUCCAGGGUAUACUGAACUACAUCUCCAGCCCUUUUUAUUUUUAUUUUGAGACAGGGUCUUGGUAAAUUGCUGUGGCUGGCCUCAAGCUUGUGACCCCUGUGCUUCAGCCUAAUGAGUAGCUAGCAUUACAGGCAUGUGCCAGACACUCCUAAGGAGCUAUUCUUUUUUUUCUUUUAAUUUAUUUUUUAGCUGGACACAAUAUCUUUAUUUAUUUAUUUUUAUGUGGUGCUGAGAAUCGAACCCAGGGCCUCACAUGUGCUAGGCGAGUGCUCUACCGCUGAGCCACAACUCCAGCCCAGAGCUAUUCUUUAACAAAGAAGUCCAAGGGAAUAUUAAAUUUUUGUUAUAUGGUAUUAUAUCAGUUUAAUUAGAAUACAGAGAGUUGCAGUCCUUUCCAUUUGAUAAGAUUUAGAAAAACAGAUUGUGGUACUGGGAAUAAUUUGCUUCAGGUACUUUUCCCCCUAUACUCACAAUUUAAGUAAUUGUUAUAAACUUUUUGAGUGCAUUUUCGUAAUAAAGUUUAAAAUGUUGAAAUAUGGGUUUGGAGAUAUAGCUCAGUGGUAAGAGUAAUUAAUUGCCUAAGAAAUAUAAGGCCUUGGGUUUCAUCUCUAGCAACUCCUUACCCCCUUCUCUAAAAGCAAAGUAUGUACAUCAUGUUGGUUAUUCUAGAGAGGUUUACAUAAGUAAUAUAAUUUCCAUUGGGGUGCUUUAAUUAAAAGUAAAAAUAUUUUUGGCUUAAAAUGUACUAUUUCAGGGCUGGGGCUAUAGCUCAGUGGCAGAGCGCUUGCCUCACAUGUGGGAAACACUGCGAGAUCCUCAGCACCACAUAAAAAUAAAGGUUAUUGUGUCCACCUACAACUAAAACAAAUAUUUUUUUAAAAAUAUACUAUUUCAGCUGGAUACAGUGGCCCAUCCUUAUAAUCUCAACUCAAUUUUUGUUGUAUGGUAUCAUAUCAUACCAUAUGGAGGAGGAGGCAGGAGGAUUGGAAGAUUGAGGGCAGACUCAGCAAUUUACAGAGUGCUUGUAAAUAUUAAAAACAAAGUGCCUGAGGAAUGCAGCUCAGUGGGAGAUCACUCCUGGUUCAGUCCUCCAAUACCACAGAAAAUAAAUAAACAAAUAAACAACAACAAAAUAGCUGGGGGGUUAGAAAUUGAGACUAGUUCUUAUGUUCAAGAUAGAGAAGUUUCUCAUAGGCGUCAAGAGGGCAGGCAGGCUUAUUAAAAUGGAAAGCCCUUUGAAAACAUUUAAAUGUCUGUGUAAAGAUUGCUGAAAAUAGGGGACUCAGUAUAUAGCUCCGUUGGCAGAGUGCUUGCCUUGUAUCCACAAGGCCCUGGGUUCGAUCCUGGGUUUGAUCUUCAGCACCACACACACACAAAAACAAACAAACAAACAAACAAACAAACAAAAAAAUGAAUACUGAAAAUAAUUGGAUAUUAAAUAUAUCAAUUCCUUUGCUAAUACUAAAGAAGUAUUCCUGAAAUUAAAAAAUUGAUUGAUGAAUGUCAUAACAAAAUUCAGUUGAGUUUAACAUUUAAAUAAAUGUUUGACUUGGUAUGUAGUUUGAGAAAGGAAUUCGUAACUCUAAGACCAAAUCAAUAUAUUUGUUUUAUAUUUUUCCUUAUUCUUCUAAAGUGGCUUUCUCUCUCUCCCUUUUUUUUUUUUUUUUCGGGGGUGGGGGAUAGGCCGGGGAUGUUGAGGAUUGAACCCAGGGCUUUGGGCAUGUCGAGCACUUGUUCUACUGUUGAGGUAUACAUGUACAUCAUAAUGUGGGUUAUUCUAGCGCCCCCCCCACCCAUAUCUUUUAAUUCUUAAUGUUAUUUAUUUAUUUAUUUUAGUGAUACUGGAGAUUAAACCCAGUGCUUCCUGCAUGCUAGGCAAGUGUUGCACCGCUGAUCACUGCCCCAGACACCUUUUUAAAAAUUUUAUUCUGGGGCUGGGGAUGUGGCUCAAGCGGUAGCGCGCUCGCCUGGCAUGCGUGCUGCCCGGGUUCGAUCCUCAGCACCACAUACAAACAAAGAUGUUGUGUCCGCCGAAAACUAAAAAAUAAAUAUUUAAGAAAAAAAAAAUUUUAUUCUGAGGAAAAGUUUUGUUCAGUUGCUAAGGCUUGCCUGGAACUUCUGUUCAUCUUAUUCAGCCUCCCAAAUAACUGGUAUUAUGGGCCACUAGCUGGGAUUAUUAAAACUCCCAGUUUUAAUCUGAUUUUUUUUAAAUAAUGAAAGUAUUUACUUUUUCUUUAUCCCAAUUGGUUAAAUAUGUGUUCAAUUUGUGAGUGAACCCAUCCUUUGCUUUUGGAUUAUUUUUCCGUUUUCAGAAAUAGAAGCCAUAAGAUUAAAAAAAUGCGGCUAAAAAGAACAAACAUACUUCCUGUAAAAAGUCUCUAGAAAUGAAGUCAAAAGAUAAGAAAUUGGGAAAAAAUAUUUAUAACACUACCAAGUAAAUGUUAAUCCUCAUUAAUAUAUAAAAAUCUUCUAAAACAUUAAGUCAGGAAACUCUAGUUAAAAAUGAGUCAUGGGGACUUGGGUUGUGGCUCAAGGGGUAGAGUGCUUACCUAGCAUGCCUGAGGCACUGGGUUCGAUCCUUAGCACCUCAUAAAAAUAAGAUAAAGAUAUUGUGUCCACCUAAAACUAAAAAGUAAAUAUAAGGGGAAAAAUGAGUGAAGGCAUGAAUAGGUAGUUCACAGGAAAACAAAUGGCACUUAAAUGUGAAAGAAUAUUCAAGUUUAUUUUAAGAGAAGAGUAAAACAAAAGCACAGAAAGUUAAUAUUUGAGAACUUUGUGUGGAGGCUGGAAAGAUUGUAGAAUGUUACAGUGCAAAAAUAUGAACAGCAUUUUUGACAUUUAUCAGAAUUAAAGUUUUCUAUUUUUUUUGAUCUAGUGAUCUCAGAAUGAUCCUAUAUAUCUGCAAAUUUGAUACAAAAAUUGCAUAUGUAAUCUUGGAUUUCUUUGUGUGUGUGUGUGUGUGUGGGGGGGUACUGGUGGUUGAACCUAGAGAGGCAUUCUACCAUUGAGCUUCCUCCCCGGGUCUUUUGAUUUUUAUUUUGAGAGUGUCACUGGGUUGCUCAGAGUGGCCUCAAAUUUGCUAUCCUUCUUCCUCGGCGUCAGUAGCUGGUAUUAUAGGCAUGCAUCACCAUGUCUCAUUGGAUAACAUUUAUCAAAUGUAGUAAAAUAAUGAAAGAUAAGGAACAACCCAAGAGACUGGAUAAACUGAUGCAUUCACACAAUGGAAUACUAGAAUGCUGUAAUAUUCAGUGAGGAAACAGUCUAUGAAAUAAUAGGAAAUUUAAAGAACAUUAAUUGAAAAACGUAAGGUGUGUAAAAGGUACUACAUAAAGCUUCCUUUCUGGUGGAAAAUGGAUGAACUAUAUGUGUUCAGGGAUUUUUAAAAAAAUUGAUACUGCAAUGUGAAAAUAGUCAUCUUUAAGUGCUGGGAUAAUGGGGCAGGUAUAUCCAGGGUAAGAAUAAGAAUUGUUUUUUGGUACAUUGGAUUGAACCCAGGGGUACUCGGCCACUGAGUUAUAUCCCCGUCCCUAUUUUUUAUUUUAUUUAGAAACAGGGUCUCAAUGAGUUGCUUAGCACCUUGCCAUUGUUGAGGCUGCCUUUGAGCUGGUGAUCUUACUGCCUCAGCCUCCCAAGCAACUGGGAUGACAGGUGUCUGCCCCCUCGCCUGUCAUAAGAAUUUUCUAUGUACAGUUGGAGUUCUUUUGGUAGAAGACUUGAUAUACCAGUAUUUGUAAGGUUCAGGUGAUUUGUUUCUUUUUUUUUUUUUGCGAUAAGUAUGCAUAACAUAAAAAAAUUGCCAUUUUUACAUUUUUGUAGUAUAAUUCAUUGGCAUUUUUCUUUCUUUCCUUUUGUUUCCUUUUUUCUUUCUUUUUUUUUUUAGGUCUGAGGAUGGAACUCACAGCCUCACCCAUGUUAGGCAAAUGCUGUAUUGCGAAGCCACAUCCCCAGCUCUUUUUAUUUUUUAUUUUUGAAAUGUGUGAACAUAUUACUUACUUUAAAAUAAUUUUCUAAGAAAAAUGACAUAAUGCUUUUUAUUUAUUUUUUCCAGUGCUGGGGGUUGAACCCAGGGCCUUGCCUGGUGGUCGACCAAUAAGCUUCAUCCUCAGCCCAAUACCUUUAAUGUUUGCUAUAGUAUUUCAUAUGUAUACUACUAUAUGUUUCUAAGGUGUAUUAUGUAUAAACAAUUAUACAUAAUAACAUACUUUUUAGUAGAUUGGAUGAAUCUCUUAAAAUCAGUGAACUUCUACCAUAGUCAUAGAGGUCAAAGUGUCAUAUAUUUUAGAAUUUGUAGUGAUUCGUUUGCUCUGCAUUAAUACUUGGGGGGGCGGGCUGUGUUAGGUUGGAAAAAUUUAAGUUGGUCUGCUGUUUUGCAUUGCAAUGCUUUUUUUGCACUCUGAUUUACUGUCAGCUUGGUAGAGAUUUGGUUGUGGCUGCCACUAUGUAAAUUCAAAGAGGAUGUCAACAAAGGAUUUUUGUCCUUUGGAAUGCUGUGACUCCAGCUCCUCUAACUGCCUGAUACAUAGUAGAUUCAUAGUAAAUGUUGAAUAAGCAUAAAUAAUGGAUCUCUUACCAUGUACAUAAUACCCUGCAUAUCAUCCCAUAAAUGUAAAUAGCAUGUUAUAUAUGUCUCAUAUGUUCAUUUUUAGGUACUUGUACUAGUAACUAUGUAUGAUAAAUUUUUCAGUAAAUGGUAUGCAUAUUCAAAAAUUGGAUUUGAUUACCCUUUGAAAAUGUACCAAUUUUACUGUCCCUCACAGAUUACAUAUAUUUUUCAAAUCUAUACUACAUGCAAAUGGUAAAUAGUAUAAAAUUCAAUUUUUAUAAAGUUGAUCUAGGUGUAAAUUUUCUUCCCAAUCCUGAUUUCUUAGUCCUCAACAUUUUUUCCUUUUCCUCAGAUUAUAUGUACUAUUAAUUUCAUGUUUCACCUUUCACAGAUAGUUUCUGCAAAUACGACAAUAGUGUUAUUAUUAAGUCUACAUAUUAUAGAAACAGUAACUUGAUAGGAACUGAAAAGUAACACUUAAGUCCCAUUUUUGAUAGUGAUAUGUAAGGAAAAAUGCAGGAGUAAAUAUAUGAGUAAUAAUAUACAAUAAACAAGUCAUUCAUACCAACCAUGCAGGGAUGGUUUAAUUUUAGGAAAUCUGUUAGGUCAGAGGAAAAUAAAAUUAUAUGUGUAGUUCUAUAAUUGGAAUUUCUUCUUAAUACUUUUAUUAUAUAAUUCAUUUUUAAGUCAUUGAUCAUUUGGAUCUUAUUUUGAUCGCAGCAGCUGUAUGAACUUAAAUUGUCAAGUGAUUGGACCAAUGUAUCAAUUACUGUUCAUCUUUAUAGCUUUUGACUUCCUUACUUUAAGAGUUUACUAAAGUCAUCUUCAUCUUGAAUGUUUUCACUAUUGUGUUUUGUGUUAAUUCUAUCUGGCCCUUUUAUCUUUCCCUUCUACUACUUUAUGUCUAGCAACUGUCCUAUAAGGUUGUCACAUAUAUGGAUCUUUCUAGUAGAAUUUACCUAUAAAAAUUAAUAUGUAGUGAAAAAAAUAAAUAUGUAGCAGGAUUAUUUUAACUAUAAUGUUUAUAACAGUAUAACAGUAGCAGAGCUACAUUAAAAACUGCAUUUGGUAAUAUUUCAUGAUCUGUGCUUUCUUGCAUGCCAAUUGCUGCAAUUUUUUUUUUUUUUUUUUUUGGUACUGAAGAUUGAAUUCAGGGGCACUCCACCACUGAGCCACAUCCUCAGCCCUAUUUUGUAUUGUAUUCAGAGACAGGGUCUCACUGAGUUGCUAAGCCCCUCUCCUUUUUGCUGAGGCUGGCUUUGAACUUGAAAUCCUCCUUUCUCAGCCUCACGAGCCACUAGGAUUACAGGUGUGCGCCACCAUGCCUGGUUGCAAAUUGCUUUUGUUCUUGGUUGAGUGAUAAAUAAUUUUUAUGGGUUAUGUCAUGACCAUUAUAUUCAUAAUGUUCUGCUUUGACAUGGGUCUUUCCGUGGCUUAAAUAAGACCUCUUUUUCAUACAUAAGUCUUUCAGUUUUAUAUUUUAAGUAGCAUCAGUUUUAGCAUUUAUCGUGACUGGACUGAAUGUCAUAAUAUUUGGCUCUUAGUUUGAAAUGAAAAUGUGUAGAUACAUUAUUUAUGUAAUAUAAUUUAUCUAACAGUUUACUUAUUAACACGUCUUUAGGUUGUCCCUUUCACAAAUAAUGGUGCAAUGAAAACUUGAUCCGUGUGUCCUUGUGUGAGUAUUUCUAAUAAGAUUUCUAUCUAACUAGAAUAAGAUAUAUUCCAUGCUUGUAUAAUUAUAUCCAAAUGUGUUCUGCUCUUAGGAAUAACUAAAAAAAAAAACAAUCAAUUUUUAAAAAUGCCAAAAAAACCCCAGACAAACCUAAAACAAAGAUUUCUAUAUGAUGCAUCUUUGGAAAAGCUGGUAAAAAUAUGAGCAGCUUUUAUUUAUUAAAAUUCCUUUCACAUUGCCUUCCCCAAAAUGUUUUAAUUUAUACUACAUAGUUUUUACCUAACCCCUUUAUAGUUGCUUAAGAAAUUUCCUUGUGCUUACCUAGAAUGCUUAAGGCCUUGGGCUUGAUCCCUGGCACUAGGGGGAAAAGUAAAAGAAAGAAAAUAAAUUUCCUUCAAAAUUACCACAAUAUGGGACAUUUAACGGGUAUUUUGACAAUGUAUCACAUAACAAUUUCUCCAAAACUUCCCUUGCAUAACGAUCUCACUGGGAAAUUAUAAAUUUCAUUCACUUUAUUUAAUUUGUAAAGUCUAGUUUUUAGCACACAGAAAAGUCAAAAUUUGUGUUAUUUAUUGGUUAAGAUCGGUGGGAGGUUGGAUGUUCUUGUUCUCUUUAUUUAACAUUAUGUUUCAGAAUAAUAUUUGAUAUAUGGAAAAGUUACAAAGAUUGUACAGAGAAUUCCCAUUACAUUAGUCUGGUGCUUUUGCCACUUCCACAAUUGCCCCUCAUACCAGCUCUUGAUAACCUCUAGUAUAUUUUAAAAUUUCUGUGAAUUUUCUUAUUCUAGGUACCUCAUAUAAUUGGUAUUGUGUUCUCCUUUUGUGUGUAAUUUCUCUUAGCACAGUGUUUGAGGUUCAUCUCUGUUGUAGCAUGUUAGAACUUCAUUCUUUAUGAUGGCUGGAAAAUAUUUCAUUAUAUAUUUUCAUGCCAUUUUGUUUAUCCAUUGGUUUUGUUUAUGUACUAUUGUUUAUAUAUAUGUCACAUAUACAUUAGUAUAGAUGUGUUUAUAUAAAGCAUUUUGUUUUUCUGCUAUUUAUGGCUAGUGCUGCUUUAGAACAUACAUGUAAUGCUUUUCUUUUUCUUUUUCUUUUUUGGUACCACUGAACCGCAUCCCCAGCCUUUUUAUAUUUUAUUUUGAGACGGGUCUUGCUAAGUUGAAUAGUGCCUCACUAAGUUGCUGAGGCUGGCUUUGGACUCCCAGAACUCCUGCCUCAGCCUCCCGAGCUGCUGGGAUUAUAGGCGUGUGCCACUACUUUCGGCUGUAAUGCUUUUCUUAAUUGUUCCCACAUCUUAUUAAGGUAAUUAAUUUGGUGUAAAGUGUAUAUUAGAGAAUUAUUUAACUCUUGGAAUAAAAAUUUGAAAUUGAUGCUGACCUAUUAAGAUACAACUUUGAUCCACUGUAAUUAUGAGGUAGUCAUAUCAGUAUUAGUAUAUGUUAUCCAAAAAUUAACACGAACAUUUUCUUAUUCUGGAUAUGAUAUCUUUGGCAUCAUUGCCUGUUCUUCUUGAUUAAAAUGAAAUAAUCUUAUUGAGUAAAUAGUGGUAUGUAAUUUAAAAAUAUCUUCUUUUAACUGUCUUUAAUAUAGUUAGGUGUGUUCUGUAAAAUUGAUGUCAACUCCCCGAAUCUCUAUUAUUUUCUUUCCUUUUUUUCUUCCUGUUCUCUGUAUUCUCUUGAGGGCCUCUAGUUAAUUUCUGUAGGGAAGAAUAUGUUUAAAUCUAUAUCUGUCUCUCAGGUUUACAUGGAUUCUUUUUCGUUUACCCCAAUAUACUAUGUCUAAAAUAUUAUAAUAGAUAUAGUUACUCAUUUUCAAAAAUUUGAAAAGGAGCAUAUCACAAUUAAUGAAAGCAUUUGUAGAAUCUCAUAUUUGUACUGUAUUUCUUUUUAAUGUGUACAUAUCAUUAAUGUUUUAAGAUGGCUCUUAUGAGAAAAUUUUCCUGUCUUUAGAUAUAUGAGUACAUAAAGAUAUCUUAAUUUGGAUCAUGAUUGAUUUAUUUAGAACAUUUCCAUCCUUUUUAGUCAUUGGGAGAGUUUUUAGUUUGAAUAUAACAGUGCAGUUAGCAUACUCAUUGAAAACAUGUUUGUAUGCAUAUGUCCCUGACAGUUUCUUUUAUUAUAAACUGAAGUUAUUAGAGACUUGGUUUGACUUUUUUUUUUGGUAUUUAUUUAUUUAUUUAUUCGUUCAUUCAUUCAUUCAUUCAGUGUCUUGAAUACCUGAAGAGAGUGAGGAGUAAUUGCCAGGGGUAAUUAGACCGAUAUUAAACAGAUAUUAGUCACAUAUUCACACUUCAUUCCUUCACACUUUCUUCAUUCUUCCUACUGAAACACAUAAGCUUCCUGUGCCCUGCUAUUAUGCACCAUUCUUUGCCUUUUGUUCAGCACUUUUUGUUUACUAGGAUUGGGUUCUGUUCAUUUCUCUUUUAUUGGAUGAUUUUCAUUUUUUUCUCAUUGUGCUGGAGGUUAAACUCAGAGCCUCAUCCUUGGUAGGUAAGCACUUUAUCACUGAACUAUGUGCCUUGCCCUCACUGGAUAAUUUUAAUGAAUUUUAGUGUUUGCAAGAUGAUUCUGCCCUCUUGAUCUGCUUUUCCAGCACUUUGUACCAAAUACAACUGCAUACAUUCCUUCACAUUUAAAUACCUAUUAAUCAUAUCUCAUCUACUUGUUAUGUUAUAGAUAACAGUGUUUUUUUGUAUAGUAUUGUUUUUUAUAUUAUUGUCUUUUGAUAAUGAUAGUGACCAUUACCUGAGUACACUUUAAGUGUUUAACAUGUGUAAUAAUGGUUUUUAUGGAAGUAAAUUCUAAUUUGAUCUCUUAAUUUUUCAGAUCGGGUAAUUGAGGUCAAAUACACUCAGUAACAUUGCUCCCAAAUGUCAGAGUGAAGACUCUCUCUCAUUAUCAAUGAUGCUUAAGUUGGAGGUAAAAGUGAGGUCCUCUUCAAUUUCUUGUGAUGAUUGUGCUUCUAGGAAUAUCAGCAAAGGAGAAACAGAAAAGUUUAUAGCAUAGUAACAUUAUGAUUAACUGCUAGUAGAACACUUGAAUGUAUCGAUUAUCUCCACAUUUGAUUUUCAAACCAGGCAAGUACAUACAGAAGUGACCUUUAUUGGGUGUUUUGUUUUGUUUUAGUACUGGGGGUUGAACCCAGGGAUGUUUUACCAAUGAGCUAAUACCCCAGUUCUUUUCAUUUUUAUUUUGAGACCAGGGCUUGCUAAGUUGCUGAGGCUGACCUUGAACUUAUGAACCUUCUUGCUUAGCCUCUUGGUUAUUAUAGGUGUGUACUACCUUGCCUGUAACAGAAAUAACCUUUAAAACGCCAUUUCUUCCUCAAUGUUGGUUCAUUUUUUAGGAAUAGUCAGACCUGUAAAUAAUUCUAAUUGUGUCUAAUUGAUUCAAUCAUCUCACCAACUCCAAUGUUAACUGUUGUUUUCAUUACAUUUCAAAGAUAGGACAUCAAACAAAUGGAAGUUUAGAACUUGGUCAAGAACGGCUAGCUACUGUAAGCCAUUUUUGAACCCAUGUCUUAUGGAGCAAAAGCACAACCUUUUUCUGUUUUUUUUUUUUUUUCCCCCCUGAGCGGUAUUGGGAUUUGAACCCAUGGCUCAUGCAUGGUAAGCAAGCGCUCGACCACUGAACUGCAUCCCUAGCUCCUCUUUUUGAAAAAAAACUUCAAUAUCAGGUUUUGGUAAGUUGCCCAGGUGACCUCAAACUUAGUCCUAUUGCCUCAGUCUCCUGAAUAACUGGACUGAUAAGUAACCUAAUUCUUAAUUGUUCCAGUUGUUGUAUAGUGUCAUCUUUGGACUUUUCUAGAAUCCCUUGAUGUUGCUGCUGUUUCUUCUCAUGACGAAUGUCUCUUAUAAACACGUUUUUGCAGCUUAACUUCACUCCAUGUAAGAAUCUUUUUAACAUGAGACUUGUUCCAUAGGGUUCCAUUGGCUUUGCAAGUUAGAGGAUUGCUUUUUGAUUCUUUCGUUUGGCUAUUAAGACAGAUUCUUAGAGGAGUUUACCUGCCAUUAAGUCAGCUGUUUUGUCCUAGAUGUUUCUUUCCACAUUCAGUUCCCUUUACCUUCAGGUCUUCAGCCUCCAUUUAACUUCCUAUCUUAUGCACUGAGCAUUGCAGAAUUAUGUCAGAUGAGGAAUCAUUCCAUCAAGUAACCGGGAAUAUUGCUGUGAAGAGGUCUGUCUUUUUGUAAGAGGGGUGAGUUUUAAUUCAUUUAAGCUAUAGAACAAGUCAUAAAUUGUAAUGCAUUGCUUAAUUGUCUUAUUUAUAAAGAAAACCCAUUAAUAAUAUAACUAUUAUUCCAAACCAAACAUUUUAUGUCUAUGUACCUGUUUAUUAUUAUCUACUCUAGGCCUUGUACAUAGUCUCUUCUCC
rnacentral:lncRNA from 1 species